AUGGGGCGCGGGAGGACGGAGAUGAAGAAGAUCCAGAACGAUGUGUCACGGCGGGCCACCUUCGGCAAGCGCCGCCGCGGCCUGCUGAAGAAGGCGCACGAGCUCGCCGUACUCUGCGGCGUCGACCUCGGCCUCCUCGUCUUCGACGACGACGGCGCCGGCAAGCUGUUCGACUACUGCGCCCCUAACACAAGCUGGAGCGAGCUAAUUGAGCGCUACGAGAGCAUCACCAAACACCAGUUCCAGUUCCAGGGCCAGGGGAUACAUCAUGAUGAUCAUCAGCAACCGUCGGCGGAUAUCAUCGCAGGGCUGAGGCGUGAGGGUGACCAUCUGGAGGCCAGCGUGACGAGGCAGACCGGAGAAAACCUGUCAUCCACUGCGACGGCGGCGGAACUCGACGAACUGGAGCAGCGGCUGGAGUGCGUGCUGGGUAAAGUCCGUGAAACGAAGGACAAGUUGCUGGAGCAGCAGUUGGGCGAAUCACACCACAAGGUGCACAUCUUGGAGGACCAGAACAGCUUCCUUCGCCGCCUGAUGGGCGAGGAGGGGCAGCAACGUGCUGCUGUGGAGGCGUCCGCGGUGCCGCCGAAGCUACCGGAGGUGGAGGAGGAGGAAUUGACGACGCUGCGGCUGUGGCCGCGGCAGCUCCCCGACGUGUAA
rnacentral:rRNA from 1 species